UGUAAACCGGAAGAAUUUCUCAUUUGGUCAUCAGUGAUGAGCUGUUACGCUUGAACACUUUUCGGAUUUGUCAGAUACCUACUUCCGAUUGCUGAUACUUUGAUACUUUUAAUAUACUGAAUAAGCUAAAGUUUUUCAUCACACUUUUCUCAAAAACUGCUCAACAGAAUGUUUUUGUUUUUGGUCAGCCGCUCAAAAGUGAUAAACUGUAACGUAUGUGCGCUUACUUUCGUACCUGUUCGAUAUCUACAUCCUGUUUCCGAUACUUAGAAUUACGAAUGUGGGUAUGCUUACCAUGACAACGAAUUCUUUCUUGUUGAAUUUAAUAUCUAUUUUUGUUAAUUGGAGGAACUUGUUCCAAAUGUUGUAGACACA
rnacentral:lncRNA from 1 species